rnacentral:tRNA from 1 species
GUAGUGGUAGUAUAAGAUUAUAUGUCGAGGUUAGAUUUCGGAGAGGAGUUCAUAAUU